rnacentral:rRNA from 1 species
UGGGGAAUUUUGGACAAUGGGGGCAACCCUGAUCCAGCAAUGCCGCGUGUGUGAAGAAGGCCUUCGGGUUGUAAAGCACUUUUGUUCGGAACGAAACGCGCUGGGCUAAUAUCCCGGCGUAAUGACGGUACCGGAAGAAUAAGCACCGGCUAACUACGUGCCAGCAGCCGCGGUAAUACGUAGGGUGCAAGCGUUAAUCGGAAUUACUGGGCGUAAAGCGUGCGCAGGCGGUUGUGCAAGACAGAUGUGAAAUCCCCGGGCUUAACCUGGGAAUUGCAUUUGUGACUGCACGGCUAGAGUGUGUCAGAGGGGGUAGAAUUCCACGUGUAGCAGUGAAAUGCGUAGAUAUGUGGAGGAAUACCGAUGGCGAAGGCAGCCCCUGGGAUAACACUGACGCUCAUGCACGAAAGCGUGGGGAGCAAACAGGAUUAGAUACCC